GAGGAAGCCGUGUUCGCCAUUUUAUCGUGAAAAGUGUCUGCUUUCACAACAUGGUUUGUAAUCUUUAAUAGUAAUAAUUUAUUAAAAAUUGUCGUUUAGAUUUCCUUUUAAAUAAUAUAAAUAGUUAUAUAUUUUUUAAAUUGAUAUUUCAACCACUUUUCGUAGCGUAACGACAUUUAAAAUAGUUUAAAUCGUAAAGCUAGGACUUCAGUCGGCAUCACGCCAUUCUUGAUUGUCGUUUAAUUGACUAUUUAGUAAGAAUAAUCCAUAAUUAAGUUAUUCCUUGUAGUAAAGUGAUUAAAUCAUUAUUUCAGAUUGUGUAGAAUUGUUAUGAGGUAUAUUUUCAAAUUAAUAACCUGGCUGUGAUUCUUUCGAGGAAGUAGCAUAAAGCUAUUGAAGAUGAUGUACUCGGGUACUACCGCGGAGCAGGACACUCGCUUCAGCGACAAGGAGAAGAAACUCCUCAAACAAAUGAAAUUUGGAGAUGCCCUUGCUACAAGAGUGGAUAUGUCGAAGGUGAAGCUUGACACCAUCAAACCAUGGAUUACGCAGAAGAUCACAGAAGUGCUCGGCAUGGAGGAUGAUGUAGUCGUCGAGUUUGUCUUCAAUCAGCUUGAGGCAGAAAAGUUCCCAGAUCCGAAGAAAAUGCAGAUCAACCUGACCGGAUUUCUGAACGGCAAGAACGCUCGCACGUUCAUGACAGACCUGUGGGAACUGCUGCUUUCUGCGCAGGAAACUGCCAGCGGCAUUCCCGAGCAGUUUGUCGAAAAGAAGAAGGAGGAGAUCAAGAAAAGAAUGGAGGAGCAAGAAAGAAUACAGGAUAUCGCCAAGAAGGUGGAUAAAAGAGAAAAAGAGGAAAAGGAAAGGAAGAGAGAGAGGAAAAGAAGCAGGUCACGGGAUAGACAUCGUGACAAGGACCGCAAGGACAGAGACAAGGAUAGGGAUAAGGAUAGGAGCCGAGAUAAGGAGAGCUCAAAAAGAUCGAGAUCCAAGUCUGGUGACAGGGGCGACGGAAAGGACGACAAAGAAAUAAAGAAGGAGAAUGUCGAUGAGAAACUGGACAACGGCAAAGCAAGCCCUGAUAAUGCGUCUGCCAAGAACGGCGAGAAGAGAGGAUCUCCGAAGCGGGUGGACAGUGGCGGCGGCGGCGGUGGUGACAGGAAGGAGAAGGACAAGAAGCGUCGUUCGCGGUCGUCGUCCAGUUCGUCGAGUUCAUCGGAUGAGGCCAACAAGAAGACCAAGUCAAAGUCGCGGUCCGGCUCAAGGUCCAGCAAGAAGUCCGACAGUAGCGCUUCGUCAGGUAAAAGUUCGAAGAAAGAAGACUUUGAAAUCAGAAAGAAGGAAAACAGUGUUCAGAAGAAACGCCAGUACAGGAGCAACAAGGAUGACUCAUCCGGCAGCGAUUCCGAUCAAGGACGUCAUUCCAAAAAGGACAGAUACCGGUCAUCGUCUAGACACCGCCACUCAGGCCGGGGUGGGGGUGACCGAUCUAGGUCAAGGUCACGCCGAAGGUCGUCUGGGCGCGGCAAGUCGCCGCGACGCUCCGAUUCAAGGAGAAGGGGCUCGUCAAGAUCUCGAGACAAACCAGACCGUUACAGACCGAGCCGACGCUCGCUGGAUCGCGAACGAGAGAGAGAGCGCGAACGCGAUCGGGAGAGAGAGAUGGAGAGACGGGAUCGUGAACGUCGCGAGAGAAUGGCACGCGAGCGAGAACGGGAGCGAGAGAGAGAACGUGAGCGGGAACGGGAACGAGAAAGGGAACGCGAGCGGGAACGAGAGAGAGAACGCGAGCGGGAAGAAAGGGAAAGAGAGAGACGCAAGCGGGAGCGAGAGCGCAAAAGAAGCCCAGUUCGCAGUGUGAAAACUGGAAGGUCGUCUCGUUCACGUUCAAGAUCUCCCAGACGAAAUGACAGUACCUCGAGAAAGGCUGAUGAUAAGGCUUACAAAGAAAAGAGGGUUGAAAGAGAAAAGACAUCAAGAAGUCUAUCACAAACACCAUCACCAUUCAGAAAGAAGAAAGAAAUGGAUGACGAAGUAGAAAUCAUAGAGGAUAAGAAAAAGACUCCAUCCAAACCAGAAAAAGAAAAACCUAGAGACAAAUCCAAACAAUCAAAGAAGAAAUCUGAAUCACCACCAAAGAAACAGAGUCGAAAGAGCUCAGAAGGAUCGUCAGACGAAUCAGACGAUGAAGACGAUGAGGCGGAAGAAGAAGAAGAGGUAGAAGAAGUGCCGAAGAAGAAGCUGUCACACAAGAAACACGACUCGAGCUCGUCGGACAACGAAAAGGCGUCAAAGAAGAAAAAGAAGAAACAGCAGGCGCACAAACGUGGUGCCGAAUCGUCCAGCGAAGAGGAGGAGAAACCGAAGAAGAAAAGGAAAAAGGAGGAAUCGUCAUCAGAAGAUGAGGAACCGGCCAAGAAACAGAAAAAGAAGAAAAAGAAGAAGGCGCCCGCGUCUAGUUCCGAGUCGGAGGAGAGUGAAGUAGAGGAAAAGAAAAAGAAGAAGGAUAAGAAACACAAAAAACAUAAGAAACACAAGAAGCACAGGAAACACAAGAAACGCAAGGCUGAUGAAACUGACGAGUCGGAUGAUGAUGGUGCUGAGGCCGAGGCGGUGGAACGCAAACUGCGCGAACGAGCACUCAACUCGAUGAAGAAGCGGAGACCACCCUCUGAGUCAUUCAGCGAGAGUAGCAGCAGUAAAUGACGUCACCACCUCACCGCCACUAGUGCGCCCGUGCUAAACAAAUAACCUCGGCAGGGAGUUGAACUAUUUUCGUUGUGUUAAGCGUGUGCUAGGUGGUGCAUUUUUUUGUAUGUCUGAUAUUUGUGAUUCAUCACAUCAAACUGAUUUGUGGCUUUUAUGAAAAUUAAACUGUUUUAAGUAGGUUGAAACUAUCUGAAAUAGUAUACGUUGCUCAGUUGCAAUCCUGAAAUAUUAUUGUUGGUUAAAUUCGUGUUGAAAAAAUUAUCAAAACGUAUUGAAAAAUCAACAGUUUGUACAGGUGAGUGUGAUAUAUAAAACAUAAUUUUAUAAAAACUACAUCUUCACAUAUUAUUUUUCAAUAACAUUAGUUGUAUAUUGUAAUAUUAUUUAUGCCGACCGAUGAUGCAAUGUGAGAGAAACUGUAAUAAUCUGAUGAUUCUGGAUGAUUUAAAACAGGAAAAGUUGGUAUUCUAUUAUUGAUACUGUUCAUAUUAUAAUGUGACAAAAAUUAUUCUGUAUGUUUUGGGACUUAUGUAGAAGAUGACUGGUAAGAUUGAUAGAAAAGCUGUUACCUUGGUUGAAAGGUAGUGUCGUACUAUUUAUAAAUCUUGACAGUCCAACCAUGUAGGCUUCUCCCUACAAUCAACCAGGAGGUUUUGAAGUUUCAUUCUGUCUUGAUAAUAGUAACUAAAUUUAUAAUAGUAAUAAUAAUAAUAAUUAUUAUUAUGUUUCUGAUUAGUACUCUAGAUAUUGUGAAAGAGUUUGACAAAUACUUUUCAAUCAAUUAUUUUGAAAUACUAAUAAGAUAAUACGAUUUGAAAUAUCCACUAUACUGAUCUGGUUCUCAUUCCACCUAAAUAGACAACUAGUUUUUUAAGCUUCAGCUGGAUAUUUCUAAGUACAGUACUACAAACCACCAAUUUAAUAUUUCUCAGAUCAUUUCCUACUAAAGGACCUAGUACUUUAAUUUUACAUUUGGACAAUUGUUUUGCACAUAUUCUCUUGGCAAAUUCAGUAAAAUGCAUUCACACUCUAAUCGUAUUUCAGCUGCUGGAAUAUAAAGUAUUCUAUUGAUAAAAAAUAAAAGUUUUAUUCUCCGCCAGUUGCUUCAAGAACCACUUUUAAUAAGUAUUCAUUGAAAAAAAUUCUGAAUUAACGAGAGUUCGGUGAAAAAAUUGAAAGGUAAAGAGACUGCAGUUAUGUACGAUGUAUGUAGAAGUGGUUGGUCUUUUCUAUUUUAGUUGGUGAAAUACUCCCUGUCUUUUUUAAUUAAAAUUCUAAAAACAUUCAUAGAUUUAUUAAUUUAUUGUUGUAAACCAUUUUGAUUGUAUACAAAGAUCCUCAAUUUUUCUCAUAUUGGUAUUCAAUAAUAAAGUAUGUAAGUAAAGGAAAUCAAAUUUUGAAGAAAUUUAAUCUAAAUUUAUAUUUCCAUCUAUUAUAUUUUUGUGUCAUAGUGAAAAUAUAAUCUACUUAUGUACUAGUGAAAAUGAUAUGUACUAGUUGAAAAGGUAGCACAAUUACUUACCAAUUUGAGAUCUCUUGAAAUGUAAAAAUUGAAUGUUUUUAGGUGAGCUAGUCUAAUAAAAACUUUGCUAAUA
rnacentral:misc_RNA from 1 species